rnacentral:rRNA from 1 species
UACGAAGGGGGCUAGCGUUGUUCGGAAUUACUGGGCGUAAAGGGCGCGUAGGCGGCCUGACGAGUCGGACGUGAAAGGCCUGGGCUUAACCCGGGAAAUGCGUUCGAUACUGUCGGGCUAGAGUGUGGGAGAGGAUGGCGGAAUUCCCAGUGUAGAGGUGAAAUUCGUAGAUAUUGGGAAGAACACCAGUGGCGAAGGCGGCCAUCUGGACCACAACUGACGCUUAGGCGCGAAAGCGUGGGGAGCAAACAGG